GCCUUCGUAGUGUAAGGAAAGCACACUCGGUAAUCGAGAAGUCCGGGGUUCGAGUCCCGGCGAGGGCA
rnacentral:tRNA from 1 species